rnacentral:rRNA from 1 species
CCUACGGGGGGCAGCAGUGAGGAAUAUUGGUCAAUGGACGAGAGUCUGAACCAGCCAAGUAGCGUGAAGGAUGACUGCCCUAGGGGUUGUAAACUUCUUUUAUAUGGGAAUAAAAUGUUCCACGUGUGGGAUUUUGUAUGUACCAUAUGAAUAAGGAUAGGCUAACUCAGUGCCAGCAGCCGCGGUAAUACGGUGGAUCCGAGCGUUAUCCGGAUUUAUUGGGUUUAAAGGGAGCGUAGGUGGAUUGUUAAGUCAGUUGUGAAAGUUUGCGGCUCAACCGUAAAAUUGCAGUUGAAACUGGCAGUCUUGAGUACAGUAGAGGUGGGCGGAAUUCGUGGUGUAGCGGGGAAAUGCUUAGAUAGCACGAAGAACUCCGAUUGCGAAGGCAGUUCACUGGACUGCAACUGACACUGAGGCUCGAAAGUGUGGGUAUCAAACAGGAUUAGAUACCCUAGUAGUC